AAUUGUGUAUUAGCAACGUAUUUUAUCUUGAGAGCUUGUACACUGGGCUCUCAACGUGGUGUGGAAGGUAGCCUGUUACAGUGCUGGAUUCAUAAAAGGGCCUUUAUGGUUUGUGAAAGAAUAUCUGUGUGCUUAGGGAGGAAACUUUUUGAUCUGCAGAAAAGCCAGAAGACAUCUAGGACAUCCAUAAAAAUUCAUCAGAGAGCAUUUUACUACUGAGCUGCAAAGAUGACAAGAGCACCUCAAAGGCAGCAGCCUCAAGGAGCAGCCAUGGCCCCAGACUUGUCGCACGGAUGCAGAAAACUUAAUGGAGGAGGCUGAGGUCAGAAUGGGAAGAGUUUUUAAAAAAUAAAAAGGGGAGCUAAUAUGUGAGGAACUGAUUGCUGUGCAUUAUUUUCCACUGAACAGACCUUCUUUUAACUUCUAAUCUCAAGCACAUAGCAGCUGUUGUUUUCAUAUUAAAGAUCAGUAAGUGUUUGUUGAAUGAAUGUAUAAAUUCUUCCCCAAUCUCUGUUCCAUGUAAUAAGAACUAAGUUAGCAUUCAAUUAUAAAGAGGACUUAGAAAGUCUGCAGACAUUUUUGAUCAAAAAUCCUUUUAACUGUCUUCUUAUGGUUCCCGGUAACACCUAAGCCCAAAAAACUCAGGUCAUUUCUUGCCUGUACUGUUGCAAUAGCCUCAUAAUAACUAGUCUUCUCCUUUAUCAACCACAGUCGUCUCCGCUACACAAAGAAGAGAGGGUGCUAAUCUAAAGUGUAAAUUAUUUUAAAUCAGCACCCUUCUUGUAAUUUCCCAGUGGUUUUUCCUGUCAUAAGAAUAACAUGCAAAAUUCCUUGCUUGCAAAGCCAGGUAUGACCUUGCCCCGUCUACCUUACUGGCAUCGUCUCUCAUGACUCUUCCCCUUUUUCACUCUCCAUCUUGCCUUUUCCCAACCAUGCCUGCUAGUGAGCCUUAGCCCUUGUGUUUUCUCUGCCAGGGAUGCAUGACUGGCUUCUUUACUUUAUUCUGAUCUCUCUGCUCAAAUGUCAUCUUUUUAGAGAUAGCUUUCCUAAACAUCUUUAAAAGUACCCCAUGAACUGUGAAACACCUUUCCUGCUUUUUCUUCAUAGUACUUAUCACUUCCUGAUAUUAUGUUAGACAACAAGCAAAUAAGUAUAUGCUGUUCCCACUAAAAUAUAAGCUCCAUUUGAACAGGAGCCUUGAUUAUUCCUGAGUAUACCCCUAGUGCCCAGAACCUAGUAGGGCUUUAAUAAAUAUUAGAUUCAUUUGUUGAAUGAAAAAAUGAAUGAAUAAUUGAAUAAAGAUAUCCAGGUAGAGUGUCCGGGCAGCCCAACCUAUGUGAAGCCAGUACAAGAAUGUUUCUGUGACAUAGUGAGCGCAAUUAUUCCUCUAAAUGAUGAACUUGCAUGAGUACACAAGGAUAAAAUUAAGCACGUAGUUUAGAUUUCUGCAAGUCUCUUCCUCAGAUUGAGGAAAAACAAAGAAAUUGAGCUUAUUCUCACCUCAUUCUUACAUGAACUAAAUCCAGAAUAAAGCAUCAUUUAAAUACCAAGCACAUCCCUACCUCAGCCACUCAUGGAAUACUUUAUCUGUAAAGGGACAGAUAGAUAGUAAAUAUUUUUGGCUUUGGGGACCGUACAGUCUGUGUCGCCACUACUCAGCACUUCUGUUGAGGUGUGGAAUCAGCCCUAGACAACACAUAAACAAAUGGGUGUGGCUGUGUUCCAAUAAAAUGUUAUUUAUAAAACUAGGAAAUCAGCAGAUUUAGUCCACAGGCUGUAGUUUGCUGACCCUUGAAUUAGAGAGUCUUCCCCAAAUCCUCUUCCCAAGUUAUUGAAAGAAUGCCCAUAGGACCAUAGCUCCCUCACCUGGUUCUUUCAAGAAAUGAGACAAAUUCAGGGAUGGUUGGAGGGUGGAACGCCUACCUGUGACAUGACUAUUGAGCCUGAUUUCUUUCCUUUUAUCUCUUUAAAGUGAGUCAGGUCUUAACUUUAAACUGUCUCUAAAGUGGCAAUAACUGGGCCAUGUCAAAUACUCCCAAUGACAAAAUUUCUUCUUGGAGAAUGAAUGAGGGUUGCAUACAGUGGUGUGUUGGUAAAUGUUUAGCAACUGGCUCUCUUACUGAUUUCUGUAGUGUAAAUUCUCCCAUCCUGGCCAUCUGAAACUACCAAUAUGAUGUCACUUGAUGUAGAGUUGGGAAAAGACAGUCUCUUGAAUAAGUAUGAGCUGGUUCCAGCCCACUGCUGAACACAUAUUUAAAAGCUACAAUAGCUCUGCUCACUGCCAUUGCAGAGUCUGGAGGAAAGAGUAGCAGGCUUGAUAGGAGCAAUUGGCUGAAUAAUCUUUUGCAAUGCCAAUAAAUAAUGAAAAAGUAUAUAAAUAUAACGCUGUAUAGAAAGCUCUCAAGUUCAGUGUUUGGUUAAAAUACAUACUCAGUAAAUGGUAGCUAUUAUUGUCUUAGUUUAAGUUAUUGCAAGCAUUAAAAUUAAAUGUUUAGCUACAGACUCAAUCCAGUUUUAAUGUCAUUGUGUUAAUAAGGCCUCUUAACAUUGAAGCAACAAAGAUAAAGGAAUUUUUUUGUAGCUAUUCACGAUUCUGCCCAGCUCAAGGUAAAGAUAGCAACAAAAUACUCCAACCAGAAUAAAAGAAGUCUCCACUUGACUGCAGCUCUUCGCAACACUUCACAAGGGUCAAGCUGUGUUAGUUUCCUUCAGUGUUAAACAGAAUGCAUCUUAAGAGAAUAGUUCAAUUAUUGAUUGAAUAGUAGGUUCAAGUUGACUAUAAUCCCAACUAAUACACUCUAAGACCAGGGAUGGGCCGACAGAAGGGUAAAGUUUUCCACUCAAGUCUCGAGGCAAACACUCAGAUAGAAGUAGUAAUAUGGAUGCCUUCUAUUAUUUGGUCACAUACAAUACUGUUCCAGCCCAGUUGUGCAAAACUGGUGAAAUAAAAGGCAAAAAUAUUGACAACAGUUUGGGUAACUGGAUUCCAAAAUGGGCAUCCAUCUAAGAGAAAUUAAUGAAAAAAAAGCAUAUGGACCUUGAAAUACAUUAAUACACAGUUUAGGUUUAAACACUCAGUUUUUAUUAGAAAAGACUAACUUAUCCUGUUUUGAACACUACAAAAGUGCUUUCUGAACCAUUUACUCUCAAACCUCCUCCACCCAUUCCCCUCCAUCUAUAACGCUUUCUGCACAUCUGUAAAAGGUAUGACUUAGUGUUUGGUCUGUGAAAUAAGGUUAAAAAGGAAGCAUUUCUUUUUACAUUCUAGCUAAUGUUGAUAUUUUUCUCAUGCUUCUAUUAGCACAUAAUUCAGAUACAUUAGUUUUGAAGUUUUGAAUCUUCUCUGCUUCUUGAGGGCUCUCUGUUCUAGAUCAACAUGAUCUGUGGAACACCAGCCAAGUCCUGGGCAGAACCCUCCCCGUUGUCCAAAUAUUACUGAAUCAGUUGAGUUUUCUCUGUUG
rnacentral:lncRNA from 1 species